rnacentral:misc_RNA from 1 species
UGCCUAAAUGCGACAUUUGUCAGGCAUUUAUAUAUAUUACCUGUUAUAUACAUCUCUAUAUGCAUUCGUCCUUCUUUGCAAUCCUCUUUAAUCUUCAUGGAUGCCGAGCCUUUUAAUCAAUAUAUAACUAAAAUGGUUUUUGUUGUGAUUAUAUACAUAGAACCAUUUCUUUCUUUAAAUAUGAUUGUUGAUAGAAGCUUUGGAUAUUGAGACGGACCUAUAGCGCCUGAGAUGAAUGGUGAGAAAGGAUCCAUAAAGUCAACCCCAACUAGUCUAGGAUUAAGGCUUAGUUGUUUUUGUUGUUGUGAUUGUUGAUAGAAUUUCAAAAGAUAUUGUCUUAGU